rnacentral:rRNA from 1 species
GAUGAACGCUAGCGGCAGGCUUAACACAUGCAAGUCGAGGGGUAGAAGCAGCUUGCUGCUUUGAGACCGGCGCACGGGUGCGUAACGCGUAUACAAUCUACCUUUUACAGAGGGAUAGCCCAGAGAAAUUUGGAUUAAUACCUCAUAGUAUUUUCGAAUCGCAUGGUUUGAUUAUUAAAGUUCCAACGGUAAAAGAUGAGUAUGCGUCCCAUUAGCUAGAUGGUAAGGUAACGGCUUACCAUGGCAACGAUGGGUAGGGGUCCUGAGAGGGAGAUCCCCCCACACUGGUACUGAGACACGGACCAGACUCCUACGGGAGGCAGCAGUGAGGAAUAUUGGACAAUGGGCGCAAGCCUGAUCCAGCCAUGCCGCGUGCAGGAAGACGGUCCUAUGGAUUGUAAACUGCUUUUGACAGGAAGAAACACUCCCCUCGUGAGGGAGCUUGACGGUACUGUAAGAAUAAGGAUCGGCUAACUCCGUGCCAGCAGCCGA